AUCUCUUCGCUCUCCGUGGUGGACUCCGCCGCCGCCGCCGCCGGAGGUGGUGGCCGCCAACUCUGCCUCGCACGAGGGGGCCGCCGCGGACGGCUCAACAUGCGCCGUCGGUGCCGAGUCGUCCGCGCGCGCCACCAGGAUGGCUCCCCCGAGUGUGCCAAGGUAUCGAUCUUCUCCAUGCGAGCCGCCGGUUUUGUCUCUUCCACCCGCGGGUGUACCCAUGGGUUGCAAGCACGACAGGUGCAGCAGAUCUCUCUCUCUCUCAGAUCCACGCCAGUGUUCUCUUUCUCCCCCCUCAUCGCUGCGUACCUCGGAGAAGAGAGGGAGGCGGCCACUGCACCGUCCCCGCACCACCGUGUGCCUGAUUUUCCAGGCAAAAAUGGGGAUUGACCCAUGGCGUUGAAGAGGAUCCUAAAGGAGUUGAAGGACCUGCAGAAGGACCCGCCCACCUCCUUUAGCUCUGGUGAUUUGCUCUCAGGAUGCUCCGAGUGUGGUCUUCGCUGCUGUGGUCUCCGCCAUCAUCGUCAACCCCGUGGACAUCACUAAAAUCAAUGGGUUCACAUAUAUGCUAUGAUGUCUGGGAUACCAGUCCAUGAUAAUUUUGAGCUAUUUAAUACCAUCUAUACCGACUGAUCAUAGAAGAAUAAUCGUUUGUUGAUUGAGCUCUGCGCACUAGGUCUGCAUCAGUUUCAGUCAAUUUCAAGGUUCUGUAGAAUGUUACUUCGUGUUUCACCUACACAGCUGAUGCUGAUCCAAGACGCAUAUCUUUGCUAAAGCCAAGGUGGAGGCGUCCAUGAACCAGGUGGCCGGAAACUAGAUGCGCCUCUACGAUCUGCCCUCCAAGCUGCUCUGCCGUGUGCUGAACGUGGAGCUCAAGGUUCCUCCUCUUCCUGCUGCAGGGAGGUGCUGGUAACCGACUGUUGAUUCAUGAACUUAACCUCCCUUUUCCCUGCAAGCACUAUGGAUUCACCUGGCAAUCACAUCAAGUAUUCAAGAAAAAUCACAUAGGCACGACUUUACCGUUGAUGCUGCUAAUGCUGGUGCUGGCGUGGAGGGAGGCCUUGUGCUGCGCAUCAACGAUGACGUGCAGGCCAUGAACUAGUUCAACUAUUGUCUUCCAUGGUUCCGGUCCAAUGAAUUCUGUAUGUUAAGCUCUGAACUACUCAAUGAAGUGCAGGCAGGAUGCUGGACAAGAGCACGGGAGAUCUGGACCAGUCAGACCGGUUUGGGCGGUCAGACCGGUUGUCACGAUCGGUCGGACCGGUUCAUCCAGAACCUGCAACUCGGCUUUGAUUCGCAUCGGUUUUCUAAUGCCGAAAAAUUUCUUUUCAACAUUGUAAUUAGAUGCUUGCUGAGCCAGAGCAUUAGUUUGCCCAUUUUUCUCUCUUGGCAAAUGUCUUAUAAUAAAUUCACCAAAACAAGAAAUAAUGUCGAGGCAUUUAUCAAGAUAUGUAUUUAAUGUACCGUUAUAAA